rnacentral:rRNA from 1 species
ACGGAAGGCAGCAGUGGGGGAUAUUGCACAAUGGGCGAAAGCCUGAUGCAGCAACGCCGCGUGAGGGAAGAAGGUCUUCGGAUUGUAAACCUUUGUCCUUAGUGAAGAUAAUGACGGUAGCUAAGGAGGAAGCCACGGCUAACUACGUGCCAGCAGCCGCGGUAAUACGUAGGUGGCAAGCGUUGUCCGGAAUUACUGGGUGUAGAGGGAGCGCAGGCGGGAAGUCAAGUCAGACGUGAAAACUAUGGGCUUAACCCAUAACGUGCGUUUGAAACUGAUUUUCUUGAGUGAAGUAGAGGCAGGCGGAAUUCCGAGUGUAGCGGUGAAAUGCGUAGAUAUUCGGAGGAACACCAGUGGCGAAGGCGGCCUGCUGGGCUUUUACUGACGCUGAGGCUCGAAAGUGUGGGGAGCAAACAGGAUUAGAUACCCUGGUA